GACGAACGCUGGCGGCGUGCCUAAUACAUGCAAGUUGAGCGCUGAAGGUUGGUACUUGUACCGACUGGAUGAGCAGCGAACGGGUGAGUAACGCGUGGGGAAUCUGCCUUUGAGCGGGGGACAACAUUUGGAAACGAAUGCUAAUACCGCAUAAAAACUUUAAACACAAGUUUUAAGUUUGAAAGAUGCAAUUGCAUCACUCAAAGAUGAUCCCGCGUUGUAUUAGCUAGUUGGUGAGGUAAAGGCUCACCAAGGCGAUGAUACAUAGCCGACCUGAGAGGGUGAUCGGCCACAUUGGGACUGAGACACGGCCCAAACGCCUACGGGAGGCAGCAGUAGGGAAUCUUCGGCAAUGGACGAAAGUCUGACCGAGCAACGCCGCGUGAGUGAAGAAGGGUUUCGGAUCGUAAAACUCUGUUGGUAGAGAAGAACGUUGGUGAGAGUGGAAAGCUCAUCAAGUGACGGUAACUACCCAGAAAGGGACGGCUAACUACGUG
rnacentral:rRNA from 1 species